CCUACGGGUGGCAGCAGUGAGGAAUAUUGGUCAAUGGACGCAAGCCUGAACCAGCCAUGCCGCGUGCAGGAAGACGGCUCUAUGAGUUGUAAACUGUAUUUGUACGAGGGUAAACGCAGAUACGCGUAUCUGUCUGAAAGUAUCGUACGAAUAAGGCUCGGCUAACUCUGUGCCAGCAGCCGCGGUAAUACGGAGGAUUUAAGUGUUAUCCGGAUUUAUUGGGUUUAAAGGGUGCGUAGGCGGUCGGAUAAGUUAGAGGUGAAAUCCCGAGGCUCAACUUCGGAAUUGCCUCUGAUACUGUUCGGCUGGAGAGUAGUUGCGGUAGGCGGAAUGUAUGGUGUAGCGGUGAAAUGCUUAGAGAUCAUACAGAACACCGGUUGCGAAGGCAGCUUACCAGACUACUUCUGACGUUGAGGCACGAAAGCGUGGGGAGCAAACAGGAUUAGAUACCCCAGUAGUC
rnacentral:rRNA from 1 species